rnacentral:rRNA from 1 species
UCGAGGGGUAUAGUUCUUCGGAAUUAGAGACCGGCGCACGGGUGCGUAACGCGUAUGCAAUCUACCUUUCACAGAGGGAUAGCCCAGAGAAAUUUGGAUUAAUACCUCAUAGUAUAUAGAGUUGGCAUCAACAUUAUAUUAAAGUCACAACGGUGAAAGAUGAGCAUGCGUCCCAUUAGCUAGUUGGUAAGGUAACGGCUUACCAAGGCUACGAUGGGUAGGGGUCCUGAGAGGGAGAUCCCCCACACUGGUACUGAGACACGGACCAGACUCCUACGGGAGGCAGCAGUGAGGAAUAUUGGACAAUGGGCGCAAGCCUGAUCCAGCCAUGCCGCGUGCAGGAUGACGGUCCUAUGGAUUGUAAACUGCUUUUGCACAGGAAGAAACAACUCUACGUGUAGAGUCUUGACGGUACUGUGAGAAUAAGGAUCGGCUAACUCCGUGCCAGCAGCCGCGGUAAUACGGAGGAUCCAAGCGUUAUCCGGAAUCAUUGGGUUUAAAGGGUCCGUAGGCGGUUUAGUAAGUCAGUGGUGAAAGCCCAUCGCUCAACGGUGGAACGGCCAUUGAUACUGCUAGACUUGAAUUAUUAGGAAGUAACUAGAAUAUGUAGUGUAGCGGUGAAAUACUUAGAGAUUACAUGGAAUACCAAUUGCGAAAGCAGGUUACUACUAUGGGAUUGACGCUGAU